rnacentral:rRNA from 1 species
AUUGAACGCUAGCGGGAUGCUUUACACAUGCAAGUCGAACGGCAGCGCGGACUUCGGUCUGGCGGCGAGUGGCGAACGGGUGAGUAAUGUAUCGGAACGUGCCCAGUAGCGGGGGAUAACUACGCGAAAGCGUAGCUAAUACCGCAUACGCCCUACGGGGGAAAGCAGGGGAUCGUAAGACCUUGCACUAUUGGAGCGGCCGAUAUCGGAUUAGCUAGUUUGUGAGGUAACGGCUCACCAAGGCGACGAUCCGUAGCUGGCUUGAGAGGACGACCAGCCACACUGGGACUGAGACACGGCCCAGACUCCUACGGGAGGCAGCAGUGGGGAAUUUUGGACAAUGGGGGCAACCCUGAUCCAGCCAUCCCGCGUGUGCGAUGAAGGCCUUCGGGUUGUAAAGCACUUUUGGCAGGAAAGAAACGUCGCGGGCUAAUACCCCGUGGAACUGACGGUACCUGCAGAAUAAGCACCGGCUAACUACGUG